GCGAAUGGCUCAUUAAAUCAGUUAUCGUUUAUUUGAUAGUACCUUACUACUUGGAUAACCGUGGUAAUUCUAGAGCUAAUACAUGCUGAAAACCCCAACUUCGGAAGGGGUGUAUUUAUUAGAUAAAAAACCAACGCCCUUCGGGGCUUCUUGGUGAUUCAUGAUAACUUAACGGAUCGCAUGGCCUUGCGCCGGCGACGGUUCAUUCAAAUUUCUGCCCUAUCAACUUUCGAUGGUAAGGUAUUGGCUUACCAUGGUUUCAACGGGUAACGGGGAAUUAGGGUUCGAUUCCGGAGAGCGAGCCUGAGAAACGGCUAGCACAUCCAAGGAAGGCAGCAGGCGCGCAAAUUACCCAAUCCCGACACGGGGAGGUAGUGACAAUAAAUACUGAUACAGGGCUCUUUUGGGUCUUGUAAUUGGAAUGAGUACAAUUUAAACCUCUUAACGAGGAACAAUUGGAGGGCAAGUCUGGUGCCAGCAGCCGCGGUAAUUCCAGCUCCAAUAGCGUAUAUUAAAGUUGUUGCAGUUAAAAAGCUCGUAGUUGAACCUUGGGUCUGGCUGGCAGGUCCGCCUCACCGCGUGUACUUGUCCGGCCGGGCCUUCCUUCUGGAGAACCUCAUGUCCUUUAUUGGGCGUGUUGGGGACCAGGACUUUUACUUUGAAAAAAUUAGAGUGUUCAAAGCAGGCCUUUGCUCGAAUACGUUAGCAUGGAAUAAUAGAAUAGGACGUGCGAUCCUAUUUUGUUGGUUUCUAGGACCGCCGUAAUGAUUAAUAGGGACAGUCGGGGGCAUCAGUAUUCAAUUGUCAGAGGUGAAAUUCUUGGAUUUAUUGAAGACUAACUACUGCGAAAGCAUUUGCCAAGGAUGUUUUCAUUAAUCAGUGAACGAAAGUUAGGGGAUCGAAGACGAUCAGAUACCGUCGUAGUCUUAACCGUAAACUAUGCCGACUAG
rnacentral:rRNA from 1 species